rnacentral:lncRNA from 1 species
AUGAAAGGAAAUUUGCCUGGCGACCAGAUAAACUUGGCACUGUUACUAGACCAUGAGAAACGUGAGGGUGUGAAUUUCGUCAGCCUGCUUAUCCUCGGCUUCCUCGUGAAGCACCUCUUCUCAUGCUCCUUCGGUUCCCCACAACCACCAUUCCUACCCAAAGGCCAGACGGGGUGUGGCCAGUCAUUUCAGCUGGUCGGACUUAUGAUGGAGAAGGGAUGUUUUAUGUGUUGGGGUGGGAGAAAGUGCUGGUCCCCUCUUUUGGAUGCUGCUUCUAAAAGGAUGGCUGAGGAGUUCCUGUCAUGGCUCAGCGGAAACAAAUCCAACUAGCAUCCACGAGGAUGCGGGUUUGAUCCCUGGCCUUGCUCUGUAGGUUAAGGAUCUAAGUUGCUGUGAGCUGUGCUGGCGGUCAGCAGCUGUAGCUCUCGUUCAACUGCUAGCCUGGGAACUUCCAUAUGCUGCAGAUGCAGCCCUAAAAAGCCCCCCCCCCCCGCAAAAAAAAGGAUGGCUGCAUGAAAAUAGCCCCUCCAGAUCUGGCCUCAGAGUGAACCUCUACAGAUGUGAGAUAUAGUCUUGCUGGUAAUGAAUGUCUCUCCUGCAACACAGUCUGCUGUCAGGGCUACUGUCUCUUUUCUCCACCUUGUCAAAGACCCUAGUAUAUUUUCUUUGCUUCUGGUCAAGACCCCAGACAAAUUAUCCUAUUAAACAAAUCAUUACCAAAGAUGUGAUAAGAGCCCUAAUAACAAAUCAUUACCAAAGAUGUGAUAAGAGCCCUAAUAGUGGUAGGUGCCAGACGAAGCGGAGGCAUACAAGUAGGUGUUGUUAAUUCUCACUAGGGAGGAGGACAGGGUUGAUAUCUGAAAAAGAGUUUUCUUUUGAGAAGAAGUUGUUUUUUUAACUUAUUAAACAGAACUUUUUUUUUUUUUUUUUUUUUUUUUUUUUUGUCCUUUUUAGGGCCGCACCUGAGGCAUAUGGAAGUUACCAGGCUAGGGGUCAAAGUAGAGCUGCAGCUGCUGGCCUACACCAUGGCCACAGCAACAUGGGUUGCGAGCUUUGUCUACGACCUGCAUCACAGCUCAGGGCAACGCUGGAUCCUUAACCCACCUGAGCGAGGCCAGGAAUGGAACCUGCAUCCUCAUGGGUACUAGUUAGGUUGGUUACCACUGUACCACCCCGGGAACUCCCAGAACUUGAUUUUUAAAUUGUAGUAAAAUACACAUAACAUUUACCCUCUUAACCACUUUUAAGUGUCCACUUUGGUGGCAUUAAAUAUAUUCACAUUGUAACCAACCUCCAGAACUUUCUCACCUUGCAAAACUGAGACUGUAUA